GACGAACGCUGGCGGCGUGCUUAACACAUGCAAGUCGAACGGAAAGGCCCUGCUUUUGUUGGGUGCUCGAGUGGCGAACGGGUGAGUAACACGUGAGUAACCUGCCCUUUACUUUGGGAUAACUUCAGGAAACUGGUGCUAAUACCUGAUAGGAGCUCCUGCUGCAUGGUGGGGGUUGGAAAGUUUCGGCGGUUGGGGAUGGACUCGCGGCUUAUCAGCUUGUUGGUGGGGUAGUGGCUUACCAAGGCUUUGACGGGUGGCCGGCCUGAGAGGGUGACCGGCCACAUUGGGACUGAGAUACGGCCCAGACUCCUACGGGAGGCAGCAGUGGGGAAUAUUGCACAAUGGGCGGAAGCCUGAUGCAGCAACGCCGCGUGCGGGAUGACGGCCUUCGGGUUGUAAACCGCUUUCGCCUGUGACGAAGCGUGAGUGACGGUAAUGGGUAAAGAAGCACCGGCUAACUACGUG
rnacentral:rRNA from 1 species